rnacentral:rRNA from 1 species
UAGUGAGNUCUCCGGAUUGGCUUUGGGGAGCCGGAAACGGCACUCUAUCGCUGAGAAGCUGAUCAAACUNGGUCGUUUAGAGGAAGUAAAAGUCGUAACAAGGUU